GAUGAGCCUUAGGUCUGAACGCCGAGGAAUUCAUGUGGAUCCUGUGCAAGAAAGGAUGUGGUUACUGUGGCAACCCUACCUGGCAGGGUUUCUGCUCCAAGUGCUGGAGGGAAGAGUAGCACAAAGCCAGGCAGAAGCAGAUUCAGGAGUACUGGGAGCUGGUGGAGACUCCAGCGGGAGGAAGAAGAGGCCUUUGCCAGCAGUCAGAGCAGCCAAGGGGCCCAAUCCCUCACAUUCUCCAAGUUUGAAGGAAAGAAAACCAACAAGAAGACCCGCAAGGUUACCACAGUGAAGAAAUCUUCAGUACGUCUUCCAGGGUCGGAUCAAAGAUAUUGAAAUGGAUUCCAGGCGUGUGCCUCGAGACAAGCUGGCCUGCAUCACCAAGUGCAGCAAGCACAUCUUCGAUGCCAUCAAGAUCACCUAGAACGAGCUGGCGUCAGCAGAUGACUUCCUCCCCACCCUCAUCUACAUUGUUUUGAAGGGCAACCCCCAUGCCUUCAGUCUAAUAUCCAGUAUAUCACGUGCUUCUGCAAUCCAAGCCGACUGAUGACUGGAGAGGAUGGCUACUAUUUCACCAAU
rnacentral:lncRNA from 1 species